rnacentral:rRNA from 1 species
GUACGGGAGGCAGCAGUAAGGAAUAUUGGGCAAUGGGCGCAAGCCUGACCCAGCCAUGCCGCGUGCAGGAUUGACGGCCCUAUGGGUUGUAAACUGCUUUUGUACGGGAAAAAACCCCCGGUCGUGUAUCGGGGUUGAUGUUACCGUAAGAAUAAGCAUCGGCUAACUCCGUGCCAGCAGCCGCGGUAAUACGGAGGAUGCAAGCGUUAUCCGGAUUCAUUGGGUUUAAAGGGUGCGCAGGCGGAACGAUAAGUCAGUGGUGAAAGCCUACAGCUUAACUGUAGAAUUGCCAUUGAUACUGUCGCUCUUGAGUAUAGUUGGAGUGGGCGGAAUGUAUCAUGUAGCGGUGAAAUGCUUAGAUAUGAUACAGAACACCAAUCGCGAAGGCAGCUCACUAAACUAUAACUGACGCUCAUGCACGAAAGCGUGGGGAGCAAACAGGAUUAGAUACCCGCGUAGUCCU